AGCCAGGUUGGUUAGGCGCCUCAUUUAGGUUGAGGAUUUGUUAUGUUUGAAUCAUAAAAACCCGA
rnacentral:tRNA from 1 species